rnacentral:rRNA from 1 species
CCCUUAGAUGUUCUGGGCCGCACGCGCGCUACACUGAUGCACUCAACGAGUCUCCACCUUGACCGAAAGGUCCGGGAAACCUUCGAACUUGCAUCGUGAUGGGGAUAGAUUAUUGCAACUAUUAAUCUUCAACGAGGAAUACCUAGUAGGCGCAUGUCAUCAGCGUGCGUCGAUUACGUCCCUGCCCUUUGUACACACCGCCCGUCGCUCCUACCGAUUGAAUGAUUUAGUGAGGACUUCGGACUGGGACCGAUGCGGCUUUCGGGCUGCGUCGGUAUUCUGGAAAGAUGUCCAAACUGUAUCAUUUAGAGGAAGUAAAAGUCGUAACA